GUCUACAGCGACACCACCCUGAACGUGCCUGAUUUCAGAAGCUAAGCAGGGGUCAAGGUUGCUUAGUUCUGGGAUGGGAGACCACCUUGGAAUAUCAGAUGCCCUAGGCU
ensembl:rRNA 5S_rRNA 5S ribosomal RNA